rnacentral:lncRNA from 1 species
UAGCUACCUACUGUAACAACUUCCCUUUCAAGAGUCCAAGACCUCAAUUCUUUGGAGAAAAAUGGAUGAAGUUCCAGGGAUGGAAUCCGAGUGAUCGCUAAGGCAAUUCAUAUAUUUUACCCACCUUAGGAUAACUGGUUUAGGAUUGGACAAACAAUCUCAGCUGCUUCAAUCAGACUCACUGUGCUGGAUAUUAGACCUUCGUCAGACACAUAGACCAGUGGAACAGAAUAGAGAACCCAGAAAUUAGAUCACUCAUCUUCAACCAUCCAAUCUUCGACAAACCUGACAAAAAGCAAUGGGGAAAGGACUCCCUGUUCAAUAAAUGGUGCUGGGAGAAAUGGCUGGCCAUAUUGUGUCUAGAAUUUAUUCCUUCCAGUGGGUUCUUGGUCUCGCUGGCUUCAAGAAUGGAGCCGCAGACCUUUGCAGUGAGUGUUACAGCUCAUAAAGGUGUUGCAGACCCAAAGAGUGAGCAGCAGCAAGAUUUACUGUGAAGAGCGAAAGAACAAAGCUUCCACAGCAUGGAAGGGCACUUUCCGCUGCUGGCUCAGGUGGCCAGCUUUUAUUCCCUUAUUUGGCCCCACCCACAUCCUGCUGACUGGUCCAUUUUACAGAGCCCUGAUUGGUCCAUUUUACAGAGUGCUGAUUGGUGUGUUUACAAUCCUUUAUCUAGACACUGAGCACUGAUUGGUGCGUUUUUACAGAGGGCUGAUCAGUGCGUUUAUUUUCCUUUAGCUAGACACAGAGCGCUGAUUGGUGCGUUUUUACAGAGUGCUGAUUGGUGCAUUGACAAUCCUUUAGCUAGACACAGAGUGCUGAUUGGUGCAUUUUUACAGAGUGCUGAUUGGUGCAUUUACAAUCCUUGAGCUAGACACAGAGCGCUGAUUGCGUUUACAAUCCUCUAGCUAGAUAGAAAAGUUCUCCAAGUCCCCACUUGACCCAGGAAGUCCAGCUGGCUUCACUUCUCAAUAUGUAGAAAAUUGAAACUGGACCCCUUCCUUACACCACAUACAAAUAUUAAAUCAAAAGAGAUUAAAAACCUAAAUGUAAAACUCAAAACUAAGAAAACCUUGAAAGACAGCUGAGGCAAUACCAUUCGGGACAUAGGCCAUGAGCAAAGAUUUCAUGAGAAAAAUGCCAAAGGCAACUGCAAGAAAACAAAAAAUUGACAAAUGGGACCUAACUAAACUGAAGAACUCUGCACAGCAAAAGAAACUGUCUGC